UUUGAGAAAAUUAGAGUGCUUAAAGCAGGCAACUGCCUUGAAUACUCCAGCAUGGAAUAAUAAGUAAGGACUUUUGUCUUUCUUAUUGGUUCUAGGACAAAAGUAAUGGUUAAUAGGGACAGUUGGGGGCAUUCGUAUUUAACAGCCAGAGGUGAAAUUCUUAGAUUUGUUAAAGACGAACUACUGCGAAAGCAUUUGCCAAGGAUGUUUUCAUUAAUCAAGAACGAAAGUUAGGGGAUCGAAGACGAUCAGAUA
rnacentral:rRNA from 1 species